GAUUUUAACGAGUUCCCUGCCAACAACAGGUACGUCUCGUGAGGGAUCGGUACCCUCAAACAUCCACUAAAGAUCAAGAGAUACAAGUGUUUGUGUUCUCUCACUUUCUCAUGAUUACAAAUCAAUCGUGUUACAAAGAAGAAGAAAAAUAGCGAAGAACAAAGAAGAAGAAUGAAUCAGAGAUGAACCCUAACUUGAGAAGACUCUAACAAGAUAUCUCUCAUCAUCAUCUCUCUUACGCACACAACGAUCUAAAAUCGAAUGAUCACGCUAAUCACCAAGCUCGCUUCUUUGUACGCUCUGUUU